GACAGAGAGGCAGAGAGCUGUUUCUUCUGCUGUACUUUGAAAGGCACAGAAAUAGCUGAGUCUUGCAGGCGACAACGUGAAGCGCUUUGGUGGUAUAAAUAAAUACAUAAAUAUAUAUAUAUAAAUACCCUGCUUUAAACGGAUUAAAGAAAAAACGCUUCGUCACCUGUCACCAGCACACACGGGAGCGAGAGAGAAGACAGGAGGAGGAACAUACUGGAACUUACAGAAGGAAGAGGAAGAGGAAGAGGUAUCUGUCUGUAUAUCGGACAGUGGUUGGUACGUGCGCGGAAAACAUCAACUCCUGUUCUACUGUUCUCUCUGACCGGCUGCUCUGAACUCACCUGGACGGACAGAUGAGAAGGAGAGAACUCAGGGAAGGACAGUAGUGGAUCAGAGAGAGCUGCACCUCGUCGACAGAGGACGACAGACUACCCACCAAAACCACCGGCUGGCCGACCGACCGACUCCUCCCCUACGGUGGCUUUAUUGAAUGGGACCCUGGGCACAGCGGAGCUGGAGAAUUUAAAACACGCGUCCCUCAGGAGUACUCCUGUCCUACACACGUAGCUGUGCCCCGAGCAGCGAGCCCCGAGCAGCGAGCUGCGAAAC